UUACAGCCAUAUCAGGUUGAAACACCGGUCCCCGUAUCAUCACUAAAGUUAAGCAUCAUCGGUCCUGGUUAGUAUCUAGAUGGGUAACUGUUUGGGAAUACCAGGUCCUGUAAG